CUAAUACCGGAUAUGACUUCGAUAGGCAUCUUUCGAAGUGGAAAGAUUUAUCGGCUCGGGAUGGGCCCGCGGACUAUCAGCUUGUUGGUGGGGUAACGGCCUACCAAGGCGACGACAGGUAAGCGGGCUGAGAAGGCGAACGUGUCACAUGGGGACUGAGACACGGACCAGAAUCCUACGGGAAGCAGCAGUGGGGAAUAUUGCGCAAUGGGCGAAAGCCUGACGCAGCGACGCCGCGUGAGGGAUGAAGGCCUUCGGGUUGUAAACCUCUUUCAGCAGGGACGAAGCGAAAGUGACGGUACCUGACAGAAGAAGCACCGCCAACUACGUGCCAGCAGCCGCGGUAAUACGUAGGGUGCAAGCGUUGUCCGGAAUUAUUGGGCGUAAAGAGCUCGUAGCGUCUGUCACGUCGCUGUGAAACCCGAGGCUCAACCUCGGGCCUGCAGUCGAUACGGGCAGACUAGAGUUCGGUAGGGGAGACUGGAAUUCCUGGUGUAGCGGUGAAAUGCGCAGAUAUCAGGAGGAACACCGGUGGCGAAGGCGGGUCUCUGGGCCGAAACUGACGCUGAGGAGCGAAAGCGUGGGGAGCGAACA
rnacentral:rRNA from 1 species